UACGUAGGGUGCGAGCGUUAAUCGGAAUUACUGGGCGUAAAGGGUGCGUAGGUUGUUGAUUAAGUUAUCUGUGAAAUACCUGGGCUUAACCUGGGCAGGUCAGAUAAGACUGAUUGACUCGAGUAUAGGAGAGGGUAGUGGAAUUUCCGGUGUAGCGGUGAAAUGCGUAGAGAUCGGAAGGAACAUCGGUGGCGAAGGCGGCUACCUGGCCUGAUACUGACACUGAGGCACGAAAGCGUGGGGAGCAAACAGG
rnacentral:rRNA from 1 species